CUACAACCUACUCGCCUCGCUGCAGCCCGGGCUCUAACUGGGCGCCGCCCGGACUCCUCGCUGCUGAUUGGCCGCUCCAAGUGCUCGUGACCAUGCCUUCCCGCCCCUUCGCGCACGCGCAGGGGCCACUUUCUAGCAAGGUAAGGAGAAAUGGACAUUAACAGAAAGGAGUAUUUGACACCUUGCUGAGCCAGGCUUUUUCUCAAUGAUGGUAAGAUGGCCAGGAGGGGGCAGUUGGCAGAAAGGUUGAACUUUCCUACCGUCCUGCUUCCCAUGAUUAAAAGAAGCUUAGCACUUC